ACACAUGCAGUCGAGGGGCAGCAUGGUCUUAGCUUGCUAAGGCCGAUGGCGACCGGCGCACGGGUGAGUAACACGUAUCCAACCUGCCGUCUACUCUUGGACAGCCUUCUGAAAGGAAGAUUAAUACAAGAUGGCAUCAUGAGUCCGCAUGUUCACAUGAUUAAAGGUAUUCCGGUAGACGAUGGGGAUGCGUUCCAUUAGAUAGUAGGCGGGGUAACGGCCCACCUAGUCUUCGAUGGAUAGGGGUUCUGAGAGGAAGGUCCCCCACAUUGGAACUGAGACACGGUCCAAACUCCUACGGGAGGCAGCAGUGAGGAAUAUUGGUCAAUGGGCGAGAGCCUGAACCAGCCAAGUAGCGUGAAGGAUGACUGCCCUAUGGGUUGUAAACUUCUUUUAUAAAGGAAUAAAGUCGGGUAUGGAUACCCGUUUGCAUGUACUUUAUGAAUAAGGAUCGGCUAACUCCGUGCCAGCAGCCGCGGUAAUACGGAGGAUCCGAGCGUUAUCCGGAUUUAUUGGGUUUAAAGGGAGCGUAGAUGGAUGUUUAAGUCAGUUGUGAAAGUUUGCGGCUCAACCGUAAAAUUGCAGUUGAUACUGGAUAUCUUGAGUGCAGUUGAGGCAGGCGGAAUUCGUGGUGUAGCGGUGAAAUGCUUAGAUAUCACGAAGAACUCCGAUUGCGAAGGCAGCCUGCUAAGCUGCAACUGACAUUGAGGCUCGAAAGUGUGGGUAUCAAACAGGAUUAGAUACCCUGGUAGUCCACACGGUAAACGAUGAAUACUCGCUGUUUGCGAUAUACUGCAAGCGGCCAAGCGAAAGCGUUAAGUAUUCCACCUGGGGAGUACGCCGGCAACGGUGAAACUCAAAGGAAUUGACGGGGGCCCGCACAAGCGGAGGAACAUGUGGUUUAAUUCGAUGAUACGCGAGGAACCUUACCC
rnacentral:rRNA from 1 species